rnacentral:rRNA from 1 species
AUUGAACGCUGGCGGCAGGCCUAACACAUGCAAGUCGAGCGAGCGGCGGACGGGUGAGUAAUGUAUAGGGAUCUGCCCGAUAGAGGGGGCGAACUGAUGGAAACGGUGGCUAAUACCGCAUCCUGUCGGAUGAACACAUAUGUGGUUAGCUAGUAGGUAAGGUAAUGGCUUACCUAGGCGACGAUCCCUAGCUGGUCUGAUAGGAUGAUCAGUCACACUGGAACUGAGACACGGUCCAGACUCCUACGGGAGUCAGCAGUGGGGAAUAUUGGACAAUGGGCGAAAGCCUGAUGCAGCCAUGCCGCGUGUGUGAAGAAGGCCUUCGGGUUGUAAAGCACUUGCAGUUGGGAGGCGUUACCAACAGAAGAAGCACCGGCUAACUCCGUGCCAGCAGCCGCGGUAAUAC